GUCUUAUAGUCGGUGGAAGGCUGGUUAAACCGUUUGGUUUACGACCACUACGACCCGGGUUCGAUCCCCGCAUUGGACA